GACGAACGCUGGCGGCGUGCUUAACACAUGCAUGUCGAACGAAGUGGCGAACGGGUGAGUAAUACGUGAGUAACCUGCCCUCCUUUUUGGGAUAACCCUUGGAAACGGGGUCUAAUACCUAAUAAAUGGGGAUGGGCUCGCGGCCUAUCAGCUUGUUGGUGGGGUGAUUGCCUACAAAUGCGGUGACGGGUGGCCGGCCUGAGAGGGUGACCGGAGACAGUGAGACUGAGAUACGGCCAAGACUACUACGGGAGGAAGCAGUGGGGGGUAUUGCACAAUGUUGGAAAGCCUGAUGCAGCGAAGCCGCGUGGGGGAUGAAGGCUUUCGGGGUGUAAACCUCUUUCGCUAGCGAACGGGUAGGUGGAGAAGAAGCGCCGAAUAACGACGUGCCAGCAGCCGCGGAAAUAC
rnacentral:rRNA from 1 species